UGGGGGCGGGCCCGGUCCGCGAGCGCCCGGAGCCCGCGAGGAUUCGCCGGUUCUCCUCCCUCCGGAGCGCUCCGCUCAGAAGUCGGGCGGGCAAAAGGGAGCGCGGCGCGGAGCCUCCGGGAGCCGGGCUGGAAAAGAAAGGGAGAUGAAAGAGACCUCAAAUCCCCGACACCCGACCAGGGCUGAGUCCCCUUCCUGCUCUUUGAAGCAGUGCUGCCAGAAAGGAGGGGACGCGAGCCGCGUUUCAGUGUAAACCGAAUCUCCCCGGCCGUUUGCAGUCCCAUUUGUGUGAGAGCGAAUGUCCUCAAAACAACAACAGAACUUCGUAUGGCACUUGCAAUACAUUGAGAACAAUA